rnacentral:lncRNA from 1 species
UCAUGGGACUCUACAGUGAGCCCCAGGCCUUUGACUUCUGACUAGGUCCUCAGCUCACCAGCACACAGACAGCCUUUUGCGUUCUUCUACACCUGACUCUGAGCAUUUUUUUUUUAACUUUGAAACUAAGUCAAAAAGCAUGAAGUCUAUGAACAUCUUUGUGCUCAUAUUACUAAGAAUCUGCAGAGCUGGAGCAAAUGAAAUGAAGCACUGUUGAAAACUAUGUCACCUUUUCAAUUACUAUUCUGUGAAAUAUGAAACAACCACCAAGCUAUGUAAAAAGGAUCUACUCACGAUUUAAAACCCAACUCCAUAGUAACCGCUGCCUAGGUCAGAAGACGGAAGGCUACAUUCCCAGCAAGGCUCAGCAUCGCCGGGUGCAAAGAAAGCACAGAAUCCUUUACAGGGACCACGCUGACCCCAUGCACAGCACCGCAACUCAUAACAGCUAAUCCUGGAAGAGGACCCCGUGUCCAUCGACACAUGAAUGGAUA